UGUGGGGGAAGCAGCCAAUCGGGCCCCAGCCAGCUAGUAUAAGAAGAGCUGCAGGGCCAAACUGAGAUCAGUCCCUUGCUAGACCUGGAGGAGAGUGGAUGAUGCGCUGGGCUGGCUGCUAGGACUCCACCAGGACAAGGCCCUAAGGUAUGGGUGAAGAAUGUGCUGGACCCACGGGGAAGUGGCCCAGGGAAUUGCAGGAGGAAUGCAGUUUAUUUAAAAGGGACAUGGUGGAUGGCUGAGGGUGGAGACCCAGAGUAGAGAGCGGGCCCGGGUCUCCCCCACCAGCUACCGGGAAAGUAGCCUGGACUUUGAUGCACACCGGAAGGGGAGUUGUACUCUUUUGGUGGCCUAGCUGAAGAGCUGGGGCCAGAAAGGCCCAGAGAGGCAAAGCGUCUCCAGGGAGGGAGCCCUGAGGGACGUGGUCCAACACUAAGGCUGAAGAGAUAAGAUCCUUCACGUUAUUGAAUAAGAUUGAUUAGCUCCUGACACACUACUUUUCCUUGGAGGACUCUGGCAACCUUUGGUGGACAAGCAGCAGGACGUCACAAGGGACCAUCACCUGAUCUAAAGGAAGAAAGCACAAAACCAUUCAGAGCUCUCAGGACCACCACAUUUUUAUCUCUUGGCAGUAUCCUCCUCUGCAGGAGAGGGAUCAAAAGAGGGAAGAGAAGCACUUGAACUUGCCCUGUGAAGGAAUGUAGUUAGUGCUAGGUCACAGUUCUCUCUCCCUGCCAUGUCAGAAAUAACUUUACAUUCCUUACAUAACGUCAUCUCCAAACAUCUUGUGAUCUCCUGUACAUUAACUGAGGAUGGACAACAUUAAAAAAAACAAUGGAGCACAGGGACGGGGGAGCGGAGAUUCUGCAUCAUCACUUGAGACACUCAAUAUUUGAGCAGAAUAACUUCACUGCAGCAUCAUGUAAAAUGAGAAGAUGAGCUAGGAAGAACUAAGCCUUUAUUUAAACACAAGUAUCCAAC